GUCUACAGCCAUGCCACCCUGAAUAAGCCCGAUGUCUGAUCUCAGAAUCUAAGCAGGCUCGGGCCUGGUCAGUAGUUGGAUGCGAGUACCUAGGAAGACUAGGUGCUGUAGGCU
rnacentral:rRNA from 1 species